UACGGGAGGCAGCAGUGGGGAAUAUUGCACAAUGGGCGAAAGCCUGAUGCAGCUAUGCCGCGUGUAUGAAGAAGGCCUUAGGGUUGUAAAGUACUUUCAUCGGGGAGGAAAAAACAAAACUAAUAAUUUUAUUUCUUGACGUUACCCGAAAAAGAAGCACCGGCUAACUCCGUGCCAGCAGCCGCGGUAAUACGGAGGGUGCUAGCGUUAAUCAGAAUUACUGGGCGUAAAGAGCACGUAGGUGGUUUUUUUAAGUCAGAUGUGAAAUCCCUGGGCUUAACCUAGGAACUGCAUUUUGAAACUGAAAUACUAGAAGUAUCGUAGAGGGAGGUAGAAUUCUAGGUGUAGCGGUGAAAUGCGUAGAUAUCUGGAGGAAUACCUGUGGCGAAAGCGGCCUCCUAAACGAAUACUGACACUGAGGUGCGAAAAGCGUUGGGGAGCAAACAGGGAUUAGAUACC
rnacentral:rRNA from 1 species